AUGAAAUAUGAAGUUUUAUUAAAAGAAAAAGGGGUGAAAAGAACAAAGUUUUGUCCAUCUUUAUUCAUCAUAACUGAAAAUUAGAGAAGAGAAAGGAGAGGAGAAAGCUCUUGAGUAUUCGGUCAUUAGGAGGAGAAAAAUUGAAGAAAAUCCCCAACCAUAGUGGGCUUGGAGUCGUGAGGGAAUUCGGAGUGGCCACCCGUUUUGAAAGUUUGAUUUUCUUCUGGUGAACUGGACAUCCUUUUAAUUACGUUUGUGGUUUUGGACUUUUAAAUGUAAUAAGGCCGCUUAUUUAUUUUUGGUGGUUUUUAAUAUGUAUUACUAAGAUAGGUAAUACUUAUUUUAA